UUGGAUCGUAAACCCCUUUUGUCAAGGAAGAAGCUCUGACGGUACUUGACGAAUAAGCCUCGGCUAACUCCGUGCCAGCAGCCGCGGUAAUACGGAGGAGGCAAGCGUUAUCCGGAAUGAUUGGGCGUAAAGCGUCUGUAGGUGGCCAGCUAAGUCUGCUGUUAAAGAUCACAGCUCAACUGUGGGAAGGCAGUGGAAACUGGCAAGCUAGAGGUUGGUAGGGGUAAAGGGAAUUCCCGGUGUAGCGGUGAAAUGCGUAGAUAUCGGGAAGAACACCGGUGGCGAAAGCGCUUUACUGGGCCAGACCUGACACUGAAGGACGAAAGCUAGGGGAGCGAAAGAGAUUAGAUACCCCUGUAGUC
rnacentral:rRNA from 1 species